rfam:Trichoderma reesei QM6a unplaced genomic scaffold TRIREscaffold_23, whole genome shotgun sequence.
GGCACUUUAGCCGAGCGGUCUAAGGCGAAGUGUUCAGGAAUAGCUCGCACUGUGAGCGAUCCCCUCUUCGCGGUCUAGAAAUAGGCGAGGGUUCGAAUCCCUCAGGUGUCA